rnacentral:rRNA from 1 species
CCCUUAGAGUUUGAUCCUGGCUCAGAACGAACGCUGGCGGCGCGCCUAAUACAUGCAAGUCGAGCGAGAAGACGUAGCAAUACGUUUGUAAAGCGGCGAACGGGUGAGGAAUACAUGGGUAACCUACCCUCGAGUGGGGAAUAACUAGCCGAAAGGUUAGCUAAUACCGCAUACGACUCUUGGUCUGCGGAUCGAGAGAGAAAGCGAUACCGUGGGUAUCGCGCUCCUGGAUGGGCUCAUGUCCUAUCAGCUUGUUGGUGAGGUAACGGCUCACCAAGGCUUCGACGGGUAGCUGGUCUGAGAGGACGAUCAGCCACACUGGCACUGCGACACGGGCCAGACUCCUACGGGAGGCAGCAGUAAGGAAUAUUGCGCAAUGGGCGACAGCCUGACGCAGCGACGCCGCGUGGGGGAUGAAGGUCUUCGGAUUGUAAACCCCUUUCGGGAGGGAAGAUGGAACGGGUAACCGUUCGGACGGUACCUCCAGAAGCAGCCACGGCUAACUUCGUGCCAGCAGCCGCGGUAAUACGAAGGUGGCAAGCGUUGUUCGGAUUUACUGGGCGUACAGGGAGCGUAGGCGGUUGGGUAAGCCCUCCGUGAAAUCUCCGGGCCUAACCCGGAAAGUGCGGAGGGGACUGCUCGGCUAGAGGAUGGGAGAGGAGCGCGGAAUUCCCGGUGUAGCGGUGAAAUGCGUAGAGA